GCGCGGUAGCUCAGCUGGUUAGAGCGCAUGAUUCAUAAUCAUGAGGUCGACGGUUCAAGCCCGCCCC
rnacentral:tRNA from 1 species